GAUGAACGCUGGCGGCGUGCCUAAUACAUGCAAGUCGAGCGAACAGACGAGGAGCUUGCUCCUCUGACGUUAGCGGCGGACGGGUGAGUAACACGUGGAUAACCUACCUAUAAGACUGGGAUAACUUCGGGAAACCGGAGCUAAUACCGGAUAAUAUAUUCAACCGCAUGGUUCAAUAGUGAAAGACGGUUUUGCUGUCACUUAUAGAUGGAUCCGCGCCGCAUUAGCUAGUUGGUAAGGUAACGGCUUACCAAGGCGACGAUGCGUAGCCGACCUGAGAGGGUGAUCGGCCACACUGGAACUGAGACACGGUCCAGACUCCUACGGGAGGCAGCAGUAGGGAAUCUUCCGCAAUGGGCGAAAGCCUGACGGAGCCACGCCGCGUGAGUGAUGAAGGUCUUCGGAUCGUAAAACUCUGUUAUUAGGGAAGAACAAAUGUGUAAGUAACUAUGCACGUCUUGACGGUACCUAAUCAGAAAGCCACGGCUAACUACGUG
rnacentral:rRNA from 1 species